GACGUUUUUACAAUGAGGGUUCUACUAUGGAACCAGUUUGACAUGUUCAGGCGUUCUUUGUGUGAAAACUCAGAGAUUUCAGGGAUCAGAAGGUGGUUUUCAACUUUCUUUGUUAACUUUCUGCUUCAACUUUAAACUAAAUUUCCUUGACUAAGCCAGCCCUCUGGACUUCCAGGAAGCUGUGUUCCUAUUGGCUGUCCAGGUGGCAGCUUGGUGUUCUUUGUGUGAAAACUCAGAGAUUUCAGGGAUCAGAAGGUGGUUUUCAACUUUCUUUGUUAACUUUCUGCUUCAACUUUAAACUAAAUUUCCUUGACUAAGCCAGCCCUCUGGACUUCCAGGAAGCUGUGUUCCUAUUGGCUGUCCAGGUGGCUGUGUUCCUAUUGGCUGUCC
ensembl:lncRNA